rnacentral:rRNA from 1 species
UACGAAGGGGGCUAGCGUUGCUCGGAAUCACUGGGCGUAAAGCGCACGUAGGCGGCGAUUCAAGUCAGAGGUGAAAGCCCGGGGCUCAACCCCGGAACUGCCUUUGAAACUAGAUUGCUAGAAUCCUGGAGAGGUGAGUGGAAUUCCGAGUGUAGAGGUGAAAUUCGUAGAUAUUCGGAAGAACACCAGUGGCGAAGGCGACUCACUGGACAGGUAUUGACGCUGAGGUGCGAAAGCGUGGGGAGCAAACAGGG